rnacentral:rRNA from 1 species
UACGUAGGUGACCAGCGUUGUCCGGAUUUACUGGGCGUAAAGAGCGCGCAGGCGGUCGUUCAAGUCGAGUGUGAAAGCCCCCGGCUCAACUGGGGAGGGUCAUUCGAUACUGAUCGACUGGAAGGCAGGAGAGGGAAGCGGAAUUCCCGGUGUAGUGGUGAAAUGCGUAGAUAUCGGGAGGAACACCAGUGGCGAAGGCAGCUUCCUGGCCUGUUCUUGACGCUGAGGCGCGAAAGCCAGGGGAGCAAACGGG